UCCCUUGAAGAACACAAGGUUGAUAGGUCGGGGGUGUAAGUAUGGUAACAUGUUCAGCUGACCGAUACUAAUAGAUCGAGGGCUUGACCAAAUAU
rnacentral:rRNA from 1 species